UGACUCCUGCGCCAUGACCGGUGACCCCGGUCUUGCGGCUGGGUGUGGGCGUUCGCUUUUGCUGUAGCGCAGCCGGUAGUGUUCCCUCACAUCUCGAGACCCGCAUCCCGUCCUUCUCUCUCCUCCUCCUUUCUCCUCGUCAGCCAUCAAUCCGCCUCCUCGCUGCUCCGGUUUACUCCACCGAUUUCUCUCCGGCUGCCGGCCUCCCAGCCCCCCACCUCACAACGGCAUUUCCUGAGGAGCAGCGCGAGCGAGGCCAACAGGCGGAAGGAUCGGAUCGUGGCCUCGCACGCUGGCUCGUCAUCUGCUUUGGCACCUUUCGGAUCUGCGCUGCUGCGUGCGAUGGUUCUAAAUCAGUGCAGGUCGUCGCCGCGGGAUAGUAGGGCCGGCGGAUUCUUCGCAUCGGGGGCUGGCUGGCAGGGGAGGGUUAGGAGGCCGGCAUGACUUGCUAACGAGCAUAGGUCGGCCGCGCUCUCGCUUUGACCGCUUUGCUCUCUUUCUCCUCCUCGUUGUGUUGCGCUCUCUCUCUCUCUCUUCGAUUGGAUUUCCUCUCCUUCACCGGUGGUGCUCUCGUCGGCUGCAAUGUCGUCCAUACUCUGGACGGGACUAUUGGUUGAUUAUCUUGCCAUCCGUUCUUCCUUCGGCGAUUAAUUGAGGAUGGAGCAGCAGGCAUAGAUGAAAUCUACUGCCAAUUUCUAUUGGUUGUGGCAUCUUCCGCUGAGUAACUCUACGAAACAGCCUGCUAGCAUUGAUUCUUGCAAUAAAAAAAUAAGUCUAGCAUCAUUCAUAAAAAGCUUAUAGACUUAGAUAAUUUCUUAAUCUUGCACUGGUUCUCACCAGUGAGAUUGUACAUGUGGUAUUUUGAGAAUACCAGUGUAAUUCACUGGUCCAAAAGCUCCAUUUCUUAAUGUGUUUUUGCAGAAUGCUACCAGUAAUGUUUUUCUUUUCCUUAAUGUACAAACAUAUCUAUUAGAUAUGAUUUUGGAUCUGAACUUUUCCCUGUCUGCAGCUCACAUUGUGGUAUGGUCAUGGUACAGCAAAAGGAAAAGAUGUUUAAACUUUUUUUGGGCGUCAUACAUGAAAAGUACCUUUAUUUCCAUCGAGCUUAAUUACUAAGAAAAUGUUACCACUAUUUCCUUACUAAUAAACCUAAAUGUUCUGAAAGUUCGGUCUCUUGCUCUCUUUGCUUAUGAAUCGGACACUUUGCCUUUCUUUAGUCCUUACACGGUUCCACCUCGCUUUGACUUCAUACUUUGAUGGUGUUUGUAGGUAUGAAGAGUGGUCAUAAUGUUACUUAAAGGAGGCCUCAACUCGCACCAAAUACAUGGGCAUGUGCAACAGCAACUUAUGUAGGUGAGUAGCUAUUUAUGCUUAGUUUUGACUUGAGUACAAAAAAGAGCUUACUGACAUAUACAAGAGAAUAGGCUACCCAUUCUUGAAUUGAAUCAGAUUGGUAGACUAAACCACGGUGGUGUACUCUUUGCUGCUGAGUUAUUACAAUCCAACUGAAAAUAAGGGGAAAACAAACAUGAUCCUGCCAUUUAAAUUAUCUCAUAUUUGUGGAGAAAAGUUGCAUAGUUAGCUAUUGCAAAAUACUAUCGACCCAGUUUUUGUUCAAUAGACGUCCCUUCUUCGAAUGUAGCUUGAACCUGCGCGAGGGCAUGGUAGCAUGCUCAUUCUAUUUUUUUACUAAGGUGGUUACACUUUCCUACUUUUUGCUGAAAGAGAGUCAAUUUAGUCAUGAGCUAUAGCGACGUUUCUGUUUACUGAAUUUCGUUUUGCAGUUCCCUUCUCUUGAAUGUUUAUUCAAAUGUGCCUAAUGUUUUUUUUUCAAGUUUGUAAAAACUAAUAAAUGCUGCUCUCAAAUCAGUUAGGAGGCUGAAGGUAGUAGCUUACUGAACUCUCAUUUCCGGAAAAAUCUGGAGAUGUCUUGUUUGUACAAUCUCUAAAGAUGGUGCUCCAUUGUUCUGUUAAUCAAGAUUUGUUCCCUCCUUUCUUACUAGCUGAUACGUGAUGACCGUUUGCACGGGGGGUUAUGUUAACUAUAUUCUAUUCAUGAUUCAAACUUUUUGUUGGGUAAUUUAGUUUAGACAUUGUGUCCUGAGAAUCUUGAUAUCUAGCUGUAUCGGUAUAGUGUAGUUUGUGAUUUUCCCUCUGAAUUUAUAUAUCCACUCAGGUUGGGAUAGGUUAUGAGUAUUCUUAGUGUGGAAACAGCGGCAGUGCUGCACUUUCAUCAGAUGAUGAUAUGCCAACUUUGCGCCAUUUGGCUCUAUGUUACCCGAAUAAGAUAACAAAAUACACAUGCUCAAGUAUAUAUUUUCAAAGAUGAAUUAUCCUUCAUUUUC